AUAACCCUUGUUGGUGGAAUAUACAAUUUGUCCUACUGCCUUUAAUUUGUUUUCCUCGUAACUUCCCUUCAGUUAGCGUGGACUGGCAAUGAAGAAAGGCGAUCACUUAAAUUCGAAGUGCCUUGUGUCUGAGGAAAUCCACGACGUGGUGCUGUUAUAUUCAUGUCGCAACAAGCGACGUCCAGACACGCAUGCGAGUGACGUUGGGUUGCGUUGCUAAGCAACACAUUUGCUUGGUGUCUGUUAGUGUGAACGACUAUCAGAUGUGAUCCGGCGUCGCGACGUCUUGAAGCAGCAUGAACCAUGGAUGCCGCAGCUGUGCCAGCCAGCCGUCUCUACGACGAGAUCGACGCCAUGGACUUCAACAGACUGGCUGUGUAGAUUUAUCGAUGUAACCACUGCUGCUUUUGUGAUUGAAGAGGCCCAAUUACGAAUCUGGUUUAACAACAGUGAACUUCUCAGUAACUUGCUAAGUAGCCUAAUAUAUUUUUUAAAAUAAACUACGUCGUCAUAGAAACAGCUACAACUUCUGUGAGAGCUUAUCAAAAGUUAUGGACACGCAAAACUAAAGCAGAUUUCUUCGUCCUACGUUUUGGCGUGUUCAAUUAAAAGGGUUUUUAAUCCCUGGUAGAGCAUAUAAAUUUAGUAUGAAACACGUUUUGAAUAUUAACAAUUAAGACUUUAAGGCUAUAGGUUUAGCUUGUAUGAUAAAUUUAAUAUAGCUGUAGUCAUUGUUAGUGGAAAAUAUAGAGAGAAAUUAAUCAUGUUAUGGUAAAAGAUAAAAUUAUUAGUAUAUAUUACUUACCAGCAUUUUUUUUAACAUUUGAAGGAAUAUGUUCUCUCGCGAACUUUCGAAAUUUCUAACUACUUUCGUAUGAAUAAAGGUAUUGUACAAACUUAAGAUUAAAUUAUGACUCUGGACUUGUUUUCGUGUAGGUGGUAAUUGAAAAUCGAAGGUACUUUCAUUUUCUUGACAAUAAUUCCUCCUCUAGUAUCAUAACAACUGACGAGUGGACUUACCGUUUUGUACAAUCCAUAAGCUAAGGCAAGGUUGAUGUGGUACCUGAAAACAAUUCCCUGAAAGCAUGCAGGUGGCAUUGAAGUAAAACUCCACGCAAUCUAGACCUCAUCAGUGGAAGCGAGUAGCCAGCCAUCUACGCGUUCCUUUAGCAUUACAGUAAAAAAAGAGAGUCACGGUAGUCGAACACAUUGCUUUUGCAUAGGAAGCAAGGUUCCCAGAGCCGGUCCGGACGUCAUGGUGUUGGAAGAGUUCAUGCCCCUGCCAGGAGUCGAAUCCAGUCAACCACCCAACCAAGGUUGCCGUUUAUACCGGCUCCGAACGUAAUGCACAACACGAAAGAUUUUGUGAAAUUUUAUUUCUCAGAAUAGCAAGUGUUACGACGACAGCUUUCUUGUAUAUGCACAUUUUAUGACUAAUGGUAAAUUUCGUUAAGUUUUAAAUGUGUAAUACCUUUUAACAUAUGUGAAUAUUAGGGCAAAACAGGUUAUAAUAUCGUGUAUGUAUCAUUUAACCUCUAUCGCGUUUGGCUGAUAUAAACACAAGUAUUGUCAUGGAGUGCUUGCAAAGUGCAAAGUAAACCAGGUAUUUCUGAACAUCUGGGCACUUCACUAUACUACACGUGUUUGAAAGGUAAUGCCAUAAAAAGGUAUGCACUUUCAACCAAUUAUGGAGUUACGAUAAUAUCACCCUGGUAUUAAAUAAUAUUUUUAACAAUGCUGGACAUCAAAAUUAGUAACCAUUUUUAAUUUUGGGGCUGUUAAAAUAGCAGUGGGUUUUCGAGGACUGUCACUUGUCUGUUUCACAAUGUUUAUGCAAAUAAAGGUCUAGAUAUUGACUUGUAA